CCUACGGGAGGCAGCAGUGGGGAAUCUUGCGCAAUGGGCGAAAGCCUGACGCAGCAACGCCGCGUGCGGGAUGACGGCCUUCGGGUUGUAAACCGCUUUCAGUGGGGACGAACCAAGACGGUACCCACAGAAGAAGCCCCGGCCAACUACGUGCCAGCAGCCGCGGUAACACGUAGGGGGCGAGCGUUGUCCGGAUUUAUUGGGCGUAAAGAGCUCGUAGGCGGUUCGAUAAGUCGGGUGUGAAACCUCCAGGCUCAACCUGGAGACGCCACCCGAUACUGUCGUGACUAGAGUCCAGUAGGGGAGCGUGGAAUUCCUGGUGUAGCGGUGAAAUGCGCAGAUAUCAGGAGGAACACCAGUGGCGAAGGCGGCGCUCUGGGCUGGAACUGACGCUGAGGAGCGAAAGCGUGGGGAGCGAACAGGAUUAGAUACCCUGGUAGUCCACGCCGUAAACGUUGGGUACUAGGUGUGGGGUCUUAUCAACGGAUUCCGUGCCGCAGCUAACGCAUUAAGUACCCCGCCUGGGGAGUACGGCCGCAAGGCUAAAACUCAAAUGAAUUGACGG
rnacentral:rRNA from 1 species